rnacentral:rRNA from 1 species
GAUGAACGCUGGCGGCGUGCCUAAUACAUGCAAGUAGAACGCUGAAGGAGGAGCUUGCUCUUCUGGAUGAGUUGCGAACGGGUGAGUAACGCGUAGGUAACCUGCCUGGUAGCGGGGGAUAACUAUUGGAAACGAUAGCUAAUACCGCAUGACAACAGUUAUUGCAUGAUAACUGUUUAAAAGGGGCAACUGCUCCACUACCAGAUGGACCUGCGUUGUAUUAGCUAGUUGGUGAGGUAACGGCUCACCAAGGCGACGAUACAUAGCCGACCUGAGAGGGUGAUCGGCCACACUGGAACUGAGACACGGCCCAGACUCCUACGGGAGGCAGCAGUAGGGAAUCUUCGGCAAUGGACGGAAGUCUGACCGAGCAACGCCGCGUGAGUGAAGAAGGGUUUCGGAUCGUAAAGCUCUGUUGUAAGAGAAGAACGAGUGUGAGAGUGGAAAGUUCACACUGUGACGGUAUCUUACCAGAAAGGGACGGCUAACUACGUG